rnacentral:rRNA from 1 species
AUUGAACGCUGGCGGCAGGCCUAACACAUGCAAGUCGAACGGUAACAGGAAACAGCUUGCUGUUUCGCUGACGAGUGGCGGACGGGUGAGUAAUGUCUGGGAAACUGCCUGAUGGAGGGGGAUAACUACUGGAAACGGUAGCUAAUACCGCAUAACGUCGCAAGACCAAAGAGGGGGACCUUCGGGCCUCUUGCCAUCGGAUGUGCCCAGAUGGGAUUAGCUAGUAGGUGGGGUAACGGCUCACCUAGGCGAAGAUCCAUAGCUGGUCUGAGAGGAUGACCAGCCACACUGGAACUGAGACAGGGUCCAGACUCAUAAGGGAGGCAGCAGUGGGGAAUAUUGCACAAUGGGCGCAAGCCUGAUGCAGCCAUGUCGCGUGUAGGAAGAAGGCCUUCGGGUUGUAAAGUACUUUCAGCGGGGAGGAAGGGAGUAAAGUUAAUACCUUUGCUCAUUGACGUUACCCGCAGAAGAAGCACCGGCUAACUCCGUGCCAGCCGCCGCGGUAA